GUGCAGCAGGCGAGAAAACUUCACACUGUGCGAAAGCACGAUGAGGAAUCCCAAGUGCUUGCACGUAAGUGUAAGCUGUUUCUCUGUUUAAAACGCAGAGAGAGUAAGGGCUGGGUAAGACGGGUGCCAGCCGCCGCGGUAAUACCUGCAGCUCAAGUGGUGACCGUUAUUAUUGGGCCUAAAACGUCCGUAGCCGGUUUAAUAAAUGCCUGGGUAAAUCGUGUAGCUUAACUAUACGAAUUCCGGGUAGACUGUUAAACUCGAGACCGGGAGAAGUUAGAGGUACUCCUGGGGUAGAGGUGAAAUUCU
rnacentral:rRNA from 1 species